CGAUUUUGCAGAUCAAAGUGUCGUAAAUCCUUCAAUUUAAAAAGGAAUCCUCGAAAGAUCAAAUGGACUAAAACGUUCAGGAAAUCUCGUGGAAAAGAUCUUUCAAUCGACCCUGUUUUCGAAUUCGAGAAGAAACGUGACAUGGCAGUAAAAUAUGAUCCAAAUCUGUGGAGUCAAGUCGUUAAAACUAUUAAACAAGUCGACGAAAUAAAAGUCAGGCGUAUGACUAAGCAUAUCAAAGAAAAGUAUGCUUAAUGUUCUACUAUAGACUUUCUGCUUCGAGGAAGAUAGAGAUUGCUAGAGAAGCAAAGGAAGUCAAACAUGAUAUUCAUUUGUUGCGCCUACCUGAAGUUAAGAAAGAGACUGACUUGAUGGAAGACAUCGUUGAAGUUAUUGAAGAGCCAAUGGAAAUUGAGCCAGUUGAAAUUGAGCUAG